rnacentral:rRNA from 1 species
AUAUUGCAAUUAAUAGUUUUUCAACGAGGAAUGCUUAGUAAGAGCAAGUCAUCAGCUUGCGUUGAUUACGUACCUGCCCUUUGUACACACCGCCCGUCGCUCCUACCGAUUGGGUGUGCUGGUGAAGUGUCCGGAUUGGGUUCAGCUGAUGGCAACAUCGGCUGUUUCUAAGAAGGUCAUUAAACCCUCCCACCUAGAGGAAGGAGAAGUCGUAACAAGGUUUCCGUAGGUGAACCUGCGGAAGGAUCAUUG